GUAGAAUUGUGGACAAAGUCAUCCUUUGUAUUUCACAAACAACAACUUUUGAAAUAUUAUUCUUUUAGGGCAAUUGCUCCAGCACUUUGAGUUAGAGCACACAGUAGACACGCUGUUGUUUUGUAGUUGUUGUGGCCUGCAGGUUGAUGACACACUUUCUUUAAUCAGGUACUACAGGUUUCGCUCUAUAAUGAUCACGCCACUCCCUACUCCCCUUAAAAUACCUGCUCUCUCAAAGAAUCAUUUGCUUGUGCCACGGAACGCAGAGCUCGGCAAAAUGUUCGGCAAUCCAGGUAGGAGCAUGAGAAAAUCCACACUGCAGACAAGAAAUAUCGAGCAUGGGUUUAAUUAUGGGUUAGUUUUUGCACAGAAGCUUUCAAAUGAGUACUUUUUAUCUGAUUGCAGGUGCAGGUGACAAACAUCCGUCCGGGUUUGACAUCACCGAGUGCUUGACUGGGGAUGAUGGUCAUGGCAGCGGGGAUCAUCAUGGUGGAGGAAGUGACAAGCCCAAAGACGACCACAGUAAGGGGAGAAAAGAAGAUGAACACGACCGGCGGGAUGGAGACCACGACCGUGACCGUAAACAUGACCGCGACCAUGACUCGGACCGCAAGGACCAAGACAGGGUCCACAGUCCGGACCGCAAGGAUCGAGACAGGGUCCACAGUCCGGACCGCAAGGAUCGAGACAGGGUCCACAGUCCGGACCGCAAGGAUCGAGACAGGGCCCAUAGUCCGGACCGCAAGGAUCGAGACAGGGCCCAUAGUCCAGACCGCAGGGAUCGUCGGGACAGCAAGGGCAGUGGGAGUGGAAGCGAGAGUGGCAGUGACGGGGGCCAUGGCAAACAAGGCAAACACGGAAAACACGGCAAACACAAGCGCAGCGGCCACCCCGGGCGUGGCCGAGGGCAUGGCCGAGGCGGCUGGUAGAGGUGAGAUCAAAAGCUGCAGACCACACCCAGACCACCCCUGGACAUCAUCUGUACAAACACAUGCAGCGGGCAGAACCAUUUAUCUGAUCAACUGAACUCACUGAGUGUAUGAAAAUAAAAGUGAGAGAAAAUUAUUAAACAUGAAUGUGUUUUAUGUAUUU
rnacentral:lncRNA from 1 species